AUUGUGGAGUGUCAUACAAACUCAAGUAGCUUAGGCGAAAGAGGACACUAUGAAGCAAUAA
rnacentral:ncRNA from 1 species